ACUUACUUUUAUUUAUUUGUUUUUUGUUUUGUGUUUUGCCAUGUGAGGCAUUUUUGAUUUGUAUGUACACUCAUAUCUAUCCAUUUUUUCACUUAUGGUUUCUGUCUAUGUUCAGUUGCUUAAAACAGCUUCUUGACAUCCAAAGUAUAGAAAUAUUGCUCCUUCUAGGACUUUUAUAGUUUAACAUUUAACACUAAGGACCAAAAUCAUUAGGAAUACAACUGGUAUAAAUGAUAAAGCCAUGUUGCUUAUUGGCAUACUACUCACAGGGCCAAAUUUGGUGGAUGGGUAAGUUUGAAUGAUGAAAGGUAAUAACAGAAGAUGAUCCUGUGUGAAAUUUUGGUUCAAAGCAUGAUAAUUCUGGCCCCCAAUUAAUUUUGGUUUCCCAAAGCUAACAAAUAAAAAUACAGGACACUCAGUUAAAUUUGCAUUCCAGAUAAACAACAGAUAGUUUCUUAGUUUAAGUACGUCCCUACUGUAUUUUAUCAGGUAAAACAAAAUAAAUAAAGAAGGCUGAUUUGAAAUAACUCUUCAAGAAGUGAAAGUCUAUGAUAAUAAUUUGAGACCAUAAUAGGGAUUCAUACCUCACCAAGAAGAAGAAUGGAAAGUAGACAUCAAACAAAGUUUGGAUAGAUGAAGGGUGCUAGAACACACUCACGUUUGCAAGAGCUGAUUAUGCCCAUCUUUUCCCAUCCACAUUUAGUGAUGUCAGGUUUGAAAGGUAGCGAUGGUGAGUGUAUUUACAACACAGACAUCCCCAAAUGCUGAAAUCAAAUUUUUUGUUUUUUUAUUUUACCCGAGGGAGCCAGUUAUUAACAGUGGAGGCAGCUGAAAGGGAAGUCCGAGAAGACUCCAAACAUUAUUACCUUAACUUACUUUGUGGUUUGGCCUGAGCUUAGGCCUGGCCAGUCAUGGCAUCUGCCAUUCAUGGAACAGUGAGCUGAGCCUCAAGUCCCAUGGCAAACCUCACCUGGCUUUGAAUAUAGAAUCACCAGAAUGUGAUUAAGCUCUCCGCCAAUCUUGAUUUUAAGACCGUGGCAAGUUACUUAAUCCCGCUCUCUAAAAUCUAAGGUUUUGUGAGGAUGUGCCAGGGGGCACAGGAAGCCACCGGAUAAACACAGUCCAUCUAACUUUAUUUCAAUUUAUGUACAUGCUUAAAACACAGACCAAAAUAAAUAUAAGUAAUAAUAAUAAAAGCCCACCUAGGCCUACUUUAGGUUAGUUUUGGAACUCUUCAUGUCCACUGACCUUCGCCUUUGUUGAGUAUUUAGAUGAAAAUGAAUGAAAAGUAUUGAUACUACAAUAAUAACUCCACACCUCAGUGUCCUCAUUGAACAGAACAGGAGGGUUGUCAGAAUGAAAUGAAAUAAUAGAUGUUAACCAUGGAGUAUUUGUAGUUAGUACCUCUAUUUUUAGGAAUGUUUGUUGGGUCAGCUCAUGACCUAGGAACCUCAGAGAUCAGCAAGCACCCAACUCAGGGUCUGAACUUUGACCUCAGGGUCAGUAGCCCUAGGUGCUCUUGAAGAACACAAAUCCUAGUAGACUAAACAUAGAUAGGGCUAGAGAGUCCCACUGCCUGAAAAUUUAUUUUUGCUGAUUUCUACAAAAAUCAGCAUUUGCUAUUGAAUUUUACCUUUACUUGAUUUGUUUAAGAAACAUAGUAAACAUUCUCUAAAAAUGAUUGAAACAUUCUUCACUGAUGGAAUUACAUUGUUUUUGGAAAAAAGCAGCUCACAUCAUUCUGCUAAUUCACAAUAGAUUAAAAAUGUGCAAUACCGUUAUUUUGUAUUUUUUGUCCUAUUAAUCCAUGUACAAAAUCAUGCAUUUUUUUAAAAAAACUUCGAUAUGACACUUUUAACUUCUUAAUUUAAAAAGUCCAAACCACAAUGUUACUAUUUUUGCAAGAAAAAUAGCACCCCAAAUACUUACCUAUAAAGUUAAAUUCAACCAGAAAUUUACAUUUUCACAAAUUCUCUUCUUUGGAAGCAGCAGAUAUUUAAAAUCAUUACAUAUUGUGUUCAUACUGCAUGCACAUAAAAUUGACUAGAGACCCCAAAAGUAAGCUCUUGGGAACCCAGACUUUGUUUCCAAGGAGGGAAAACAAACCCUCUUUGUCUGAAUAAGUGAAAGGUACCAAAAGAGAGUGAAAACCAGUUUUCCUUUUGUAGGAGAACCAGCAGUGGAAGAAAAGAUCACUUCCUUUGUAGACACUUUAUGGGUUUCGGAUUCUGUAAACUCUGGCAUGUAACUUGACCCUAAAGUUAAUGAAAUCCUGUUAGACUUUCCCUGCCCUCCUUCCUGCUUCCAUCCUUCUGGUUGUCUCACCUUUUUAAAACUCGAUUUGUAUUUGUAUACAUGUGUGAUCCCCAGGUCAUUGUUUGGCUUUUUAUGCAGGCACUUUUCACCUACAUCCUCUCUCCUUCCCUCAUUUGGCAGCCGGUUGGACUUCUUCCUGCCUUGAAUACCGCAUUCCCUGGUUAUUCAAGCUCAGUCAUUAGCACCCUGUCCCCCUACUAAAAUUAUGAAUGAAAAGCCUUGUUGUUCUUUACAAAUAACUCUGGCUGCCUCAGUCAGUCAAAUUCCAAUGGAAGUGACUGCCAGACAAAGGGGCGGGAUGAUGGACAGUGCUCACAGCAAGUCAUCAAUGCCCACAGGAAGUUUUUUAAGCCACAAUAUAGGUAGAGAGGCUUGGGCGUUCCCGGAGGACAAGCCUACCGAAGGGGGCUGAGAACCCGGUUGCUCUUUGUCUCUGUUUGGAUCUUAGAAAAAAAACCUGUACGAAAGCUCAGAGAUAACAAUGUACAGAGUCAGUUUUGCUCUAGGAAAAAAAAAUAAAAAAAUCCGUGCAUGGAGACAUCUACUACACCUUGCAGCAAUUCUGGUUUCAACUGACACACACAGACAAAAGUGAAGGCACCAACCAUUGACUUGGUUCUGAAUGCCAAACGGUGCGAGAGUGGGUUACAUGCUCGGAGCUGCACAACUCCCUGCUGAGAAGUUGCAUUGUCUUGGGCCCCUCUUUCACAACAGGGGAAAAGGUAAUUGACAGCCCGAUUGUUUGGCCGAGACCCCUGCUGUUUUAAAAUCCUGGAAGGCCCCAGUCACACGUUGUCAAUAAUAGCCCUCGGAGGUGAGGAGUGAAGAAGGGCUGUUCAGGAAACAGUUUGAGCCCUUCAAGUGGACAGGCCUCAGUGACUUCUGCACUCUGGCUGCCACAAGCAGCUCAUUCAAAAAUAACCUUUAAGUAAUAAAUCAAACUUGUUUCCUGAACUAUACAAGAAACAGCUGGUUAUUUUUCCUCACUUUUUUUUUCAAAGCCAAAAAAAAAAAAAAAAAAAAGGAAGAAGAAGAAGAAAACCAGGAGAUUUUUACUACAGGAAACCAAGCAUGUCAAAAUUUGGCAAAGCAAUUUGGAUGAUUUAACAGUUAAACACUUCUCUUUUUAAUGUUAUGCUUUCAUCAGUCUUUUUUAUUCAAGCUUUUCUUUUUUGCAUUCUGUUUGCUGCAAUUAGUGCCCUCUAUCUGUUCCCCUCCUAUUUUUGAAAGGAAAAUGAGGUUAGUAUCCUGUACUUAGAGAGUAUUUGCUAUGUUAUUUCUAAUGUAUUGGUCAAGAGGCUUGACUUAUUUUACAGGUAGAAUUUGUUUUCUUCCUCAGAGAGAGAGAGAGAAUUUGGAUUUAGAACUACAGCUCCGCAGACUUGUUUCUCCUGAGAUCCAUAUAUUUCGGAGUUCUGAUGACAAGGCAGUUUUUCUUCAGUCUAUUGAUUCAGGAACCCUGAACUAGUAGUGCAUAUGCUGUAACUGAAGUCGUCUGGCAUUUUAAGAAAGGACAUUUUACAACUUUUCUGUCUCUUUGGGUCUCUGUUUGUGCCUGUCUUUGUGCCUUUCUUUGUGUGUCUUUUUCCCUCCUUAAAUAUGUUUGCCCUGCAGACUCUGGAAGGACCUGUCAACUUCUGAUUGACUUUACCAAUAAUUAAAAUACGAGCAUAAAUAAAUAACAUAAAACAAUUUACUUCUGUAAUGAUGACUUUUUAUCUUCAUUUUAACAGAUACCUAACAUUUUCCACAGAAAUCAUCUUGAAUGAAAAUAUUUUCUGAUCAAUCAGAGUAUACAUCUGAGAGAUUAGCUUUUCACAAUUUGUGGACAUCUAGUAUUAGAAAGAAAUGUAUUUCAGGAUCUGUCAGAUUUUACCAUACUAUGUCCAUUUUGAUCAAUUUAACUAUUAUUAAAUUGCCAAUCUUAAAAUUAGGUAUAAGGUUGGGUAAAACAUCUCUUUUUCACAGGAUAUUUUGAUCACUAUUUAAUGAAUUAAAAAAAUUGUGGGUCCUAAUUUAACAGCAUAUCAGAAAUUAUAAGUUAUAUUUUGAGAUAUUGUUCUAUGUAUAUGACAAAUUUAUUUUUCUCCAUUUUGUUAAAGAGAUUAUCCAUUUGUGAUAAUACACUGGUAAUGAAAAGUAUGUUUACAGGAAGAUAACAAAAUUCAAUUUACAGUAGAAUUAGGUCGUAAUAGACUUCAUUUUCUUUUGUACCUGCAGUAAAUAACAAAGCUAUAAGAGCACAAAAUAAUCCAUUUUUGUGGUAUAUAGUUAGACUAACACACUUUAUACACAUACAGUGUCUUGGCUGAUACAACUGUGAAUUCAGCCAUGGGUGUGGUUUCCAUAUAAAUGUUUCUUCCAUAUAUGGUGGAUAUUCAUACUGAACCUGUUUUGAUGCAACAUUUCUUCACUUUCAGCAUUUUAAGCUUCAAACAUGUGAUACGUGACUGGAUGGAAUUCCUUGAGAACUGUAUUAACAUGUUUUAAAGAGUUGAAUUAGCAGGGUGGCUGAGACACCCCGCUUGUUCUGGAGCCUGCAUAUGAAAUCCAGGGACAACUGACAACAUGCUGGCAGAAAGGCGGGAAUUUUUACCAGGAUCAGCUCUUCUGGAUCUCUGUCUGUAUUACCCUGUAGAGAAUGGAAGAGAGGAAGACAUGCUUACAAAUGAAGAUUUCCUCUAUAGAUGUUAAUUUCUCUUACAAAAGACUGUUUUUGUAUCUGAAACCAUUAGAAGAGAAGGGAGAGAAAGCUUCAAGAAAACAGUAAUACCAUCUCAGACGUGUCAUCUGCACAAAGUUGGUAUUGUUUGCUGCCUGCACUAAAGAUUGGUCUUGGAAGGGGUUUUGGUUGCAACCAACACAGACUAAGCUAGUUGAAGGAAAAGGAGGACAUUUUGGGCUGCUCUAUCUAAACAUGGAAGGUGGGAGUGGAGCUGUCUUUAGGAAUGUCUAGAAUCAAGGACCUGGGUCCUUAUCUGGAUUCUUUCUCUUCCCCUUCUCUGUUUCUCCUUUAACUUGACUGUUUGUUUUAUUUUUUUUUCUCCUUGAAUCACCUGGAACCACAGCUAGAAAUAUGGAUAAUGAACUUUUCAGCUUUAAUUACGGCUCUGAAACAAAAAAUUUGAAAAAGACUACUUUCUUCUCAAACUCAGGAUUACCCAGGAAAGUACUGUGAAUUGCCUGGCUUAGGGACACGUCCCUUUUCUUGAAACAAUCAUUCUGGACAUUGAGAUGAGACAUUAUAACUGGCCCAGCCUAAGUUACACACGGAUCUGUGACCCUGGGGUGAAGGGCAUGGACUGUAUAUCCAGAAUAAGGGAAGGAGGACAAAGCAAAUAAAAAUAAGAGCCAUUAGGAA